UGGGGUUUAUCCCUCGGAAAUUUUUGCAAAAGAUCCUUUCUUCAUCCUGGGGGGGAGGGCGAGGGAGGCUUGGGUCUGUAUCCCCCUCCUUCCCCCUUUGUCUACAUGCCUGAGUAAAGUUAAGAAAGCAUCUGAGUCAUCGCACUCCCGUCAAUUUUUUACCAAGUUUAUAAGUAGCACUGUGAAUUUCUUAAUUUUCAGUUAUCAUGUGUACUUUUUCCGCGCUUUUGCUUGUGGUUAGUGUGAAAGAUUUGUUCCAAGUUCGGCUGGGUCCUUUUAGACUGUGGAUGCCAUUUUCAGUUGAACUUUACUGGGCUUCUUGAGUUUGAUGAAAUUAUUGAAGAAUUUUGGUGGAAAGACAAAUCUUGUCUUGUCUCAAGGUGCAUAUAUGCGCUCAGAAAUUGUGAACUAAUCAUUCCUGUGUUACUUAUGCUACUUAAGUAGAUAUAGAAUCUAAAUUCAACUCAUCUGAUAGUUGGAAAUAGUUGAGCCUUGAACAGUCUUUUGUGUAUUUAAUGGCAAUUGUUAAUUUGAAGAAUUCAUAUCAUGAAUGUUUAUGUUGUGCAGCAUAUUGAGCGCAGCAUUUCUUUGCUGGAACAAGAUGAGCAUCAAAAAAGAUUGAACAAACUACGUAAGGAAUUGGAUUACAUCCAAAACACAUCUUGGAAGUAUCCAUCUGUAGAUAAUUUCAUUGGCCAUUAAGGAUUAUUGCAAAGACAAUCACCAAAUCAGCCAUCAAUCUGAUUUUCCAAAGGUUUAGCAGGUAUUAAGUGUCUAGGACAGAGUAAAUCGAGUGUGAAAAUGUUUGAUUUAAGCUUCCUCAACCCGAAGACCCUCUUUGGGUUUUCGAAGAAGGAGGAAACCGAAGAUGAUGUGUGCCAGGAAGAAACCAGUGGAUAUCUGGAUGAAAUGCAAGCAGAGUCAGAAGAAGAAGAAGAUGGACAGAUAAAUGAUUUUGUGCCAUCAUCAAAUGUGGAUGAAAUAAUAUGUAAAGAGUGUAUUGGAGUCGUCACAGGUGUCCAUGAUGGUGUGUUGAUAAUCGAUGAAAGGCAUACUGUUGUGAGGUCUGGACUAGACAUUGAACUCAAGCUGGAUUCGAGGGUAUCUUAUAAAGUGGUGACAGAAGAUGGUGUAGAAAAGAUAUGUAACAUUCGUCUUUAUGAAGGAGAUGGUUGGUCAACGGCAGAGGAUGAAAUCAAAGUUGAAACUCCAGCUGUAGAAACUAAAGGAAUCAAACGCGAAAUAAUCUGUGAGGUAGAGAAAAAAAUGGAGGAAUGUUGGAUUUAG
rnacentral:lncRNA from 1 species